AGAUUGAACGCUGGCGGCAUGCCUUACACAUGCAAGUCGAACGGCAGCACGGGAGCAAUCCUGGUGGCGAGUGGCGAACGGGUGAGUAAUACAUCGGAACGUGCCCAAUCGUGGGGGAUAACGCAGCGAAAGCUGUGCUAAUACCGCAUAAGAUCUACGGAUGAAAGCAGGGGAUCGCAAGACCUUGCGCGAAUGGAGCGGCCGAUGGCAGAUUAGGUAGUUGGUGAGGUAAAGGCUCACCAAGCCUUCGAUCUGUAGCUGGUCUGAGAGGACGACCAGCCACGACUGGGACUGAGACACGGCCCAGACCUCUGCGGAGCAGCAGUGGGAAUUUGGACAAGUGGCGAAAGCCUGAUCCGAGCCAGUCGCCGCGUGCAGGA
rnacentral:rRNA from 1 species